GACGAACGCUGGCGGCGUGCUUAACACAUGCAAGUCGAACGGAAAGGCCCUGCUUUUGUGGGGUGCUCGAGUGGCGAACGGGUGAGUAACACGUGAGUAACCUGCCCUUGACUUUGGGAUAACUUCAGGAAACUGGGGCUAAUACCGGAUAGGAGCUCCUGCUGCAUGGUGGGGGUUGGAAAGUUUCGGCGGCUGGGGAUGGACUCGCGGCUUAUCAGCUUGUUGGGGGGGUAGUGGCUUACCAAGGCUUUGACGGGUAGCCGGCCUGAGAGGGUGACCGGCCACAUUGGGACUGAGAUACGGCCCAGACUCCUACGGGAGGCAGCAGUGGGGAAUAUUGCACAAUGGGCGGAAGCCUGAUGCAGCAACGCCGCGUGCGGGAUGACGGCCUUCGGGUUGUAAACCGCUUUCGCCUGUGACGAAGCGUGAGUGACGGUAAUGGGUAAAGAAGCACCGGCUAACUACGUG
rnacentral:rRNA from 1 species